rnacentral:rRNA from 1 species
GAUGAACGCUGGCGGCGUGCCUAAUACAUGCAAGUCGAGCGAACAGACGAGGAGCUUGCUCCUCUGACGUUAGCGGCGGACGGGUGAGUAACACGUGGAUAACCUACCUAUAAGACUGGGAUAACUUCGGGAAACUGGAGCUAAUACCGGAUAAUAUAUUGAACCGCAUGGUUCAAUAGUGAAAGACGGUUUUGCUGUCACUUAUAGAUGGAUCCGCGCCGCAUUAGCUAGUUGGUAAGGUAACGGCUUACCAAGGCAACGAUGCGUAGCCGACCUGAGAGGGUGAUCGGCCACACUGGAACUGAGACACGGUCCAGACUCCUACGGGAGGCAGCAGUAGGGAAUCUUCCGCAAUGGGCGAAAGCUUGACGGAGCAACGCCGCGCGAGUGAUGAAGGUCUUCGGAUCGUAAAACUCUGUUAUUAGGGAAGAACAAAUGUGUAAGUAACUAUGCACGUCUUGACGGUACCUAAUCAGAAAGCCACGGCUAACUACGUG